rnacentral:rRNA from 1 species
UGCGUAGGGUGCAAGCGUUAAUCGGAAUUACUGGGCGUAAAGCGUGCGCAGGCGGUUCGUUGUGUCGGCGGUGAAAGCCCCGGGCUUAACCUGGGAAUGGCCGUUGAAACUGGCGAACUGGAGUGUGGCAGAGGGGGGUGGAAUUCCGCGUGUAGCAGUGAAAUGCGUAGAGAUGCGGAGGAACACCGAUGGCGAAGGCAGCCCCCUGGGCUAACACUGACGCUCAGGCACGAAAGCGUGGGGAGCAAACAGG